AUACGUAGGGGGCGAGCGUUGUCCGGAAUGAUUGGGCGUAAAGGGUGCGCAGGCGGCCAUUUAAGUCAGCGGUUAAAUCGUGGGGCUCAACCCCAUUCUGCCGUUGAUACUGGGUGGCUUGAUUGCGGUCGAGGUUGGCGGAAUUCGUUGUGUAGCGGUGAAAUGCAUAGAUAUGACGAAGAACACCGAUUGCGUAGGCAGCUGACCAGACCGCAAAUGACGCUCAUGCACGAAAGUGCGGGGAUCGAACAGGAUUAGAUACCCUGGUAGUCCGCACAGUAAACGAUGAAUACUUGUUUUCGGCGAUAUAAUGUCGGAGGCAAAGCGAAAGCGAUAAGUAUUCCACCUGGGGAGUACGCCGGCAACGGUGAAACUCAAAUGAAUUGACGGGG
rnacentral:rRNA from 1 species